GGUGGUAAGGGAAAGGAUGAGUGCGAGGAGAGGGACGGAGGAGGGAGACCGAGUUGGCGAAGACAGAGGAGGAAGAAGGGUCUGAGCAAUGGGGGAUGGUUAAGAUUUAGGUUUAGGUUUAGUUUUUUUAAUUUUAAAUUAAUUUUCUAAUUUUUUAAUUUCUAUGUAGGUCUUUAAUGACACGUGGCACCUAGUCAUUAUUUACAUGGAUGCCACAUCACUAGUUAACGGUUGACUUAACAGUCAUCCUAACGGAUAUAUGAGAUUGUCCGAAAAUUAAAACUUAAUGUAUGAAACUGAGAUUAACCACAAAACUUUAAAACUACCUUGAUUCUUUGCAAGGUGUUUUAAAUGAAACCUAAAGGGUAAAGCAUCCAGAUCUUUGGGCUACAUGGCAAAGAUAGAAUCACAUUAAAACGGUAAUAAGGGGUUUCCAAAUAUAUGUGAAUAAAAUGGACGGAAUCAGGUUCGCUAGGAUGCUGCAUGCAUAAAUGUAUAUGAUCUUUUCUUAAGAGAGAAUAAACCAUCUUGUGUUCCCAGAACCAGUUAAUCUAAAUAUAUUCUAUCGUAAAAAAAGUAAAAGAAAUUUUCAAUUGAAUUUGUGAGGCGAAAAUGUGAGGGUGUGAAGGUAAAAAAAUUCCAAAGGAGAAACUUUGCAUGGGCUUAUAAGAGGUUUGGUUACUCUGUAUGUUGUUAAUUCGUUUUAUGGUGGAACCUCACCUUUCUUUAUGGUGUCAAAGUAGGUCCUCCUCCUAUUAAACCAAUUCAUAAGCUCAUCUUAUUUAGAG
rnacentral:lncRNA from 1 species